GUAGAGGAGUGCUACGAAAGAGAGCCGUAACACAGGUGCUGCAUGGCUGUCGUCAGCUCGUGUCGUGAGAUGUUGGGUUAAGUCCCGCAACGAGCGCAACCCUUGUCAUUAGUUGCUACAUUCAGUUGGGCACUCUAAUGAGACUGCCGGUGACAAACCGGAGGAAGGUGGGGGAUGACGUCAAGUCCUCAUGGCCCUUAUGGGUAGGGCUCCACACGUCAUACAAUGGUCGGUACAGAGGGUUGCCAACCCGCGAGGGGGAGCUAAUCCCACAAAGCCGAUCGUAGUCCGGAUCGCAGUCUGCAACUCGACUGCGUGAAGUCGGAAUCGCUAGUAAUCGUGGAUCAGCAUGUCACGGUGAAUACGUUCCCGGGUCUU
rnacentral:rRNA from 1 species